CGGUUGGGAAAGGUGCAACUGCACCGCAGAUGGAGGAGCCCGCGGCGCAUUAGCUAGUUGGUGGGGUAACGGCCUACCAAGGCGACGAUGCGUAGCCGACCUGAGAGGGUGGACGGCCACACUGGGACUGAGACACGGCCCAGACUCCUACGGGAGGCAGCAGUAGGGAAUCUUCCGCAAUGGGCGCAAGCCUGACGGAGCAACGCCGCGUGAGCGAAGAAGGCCUUCGGGUUGUAAAGCUCAGUCACUCGGGAAGAGCGGACGAGGGAGUGGAAAGCCCUCGCCGAGACGGUACCGAGAGAGGAAGCCCCGGCUAACUACGUG
rnacentral:rRNA from 1 species